CUUUCAAGUUUACCUAGAGCCCCAGAGCCCUCCGGCCUGCUGUGGUGAGGCUUGCCAAGAAAUUUGAGUUCUGACUUAUGGAAUGUGUGAUUCCCCUCUGACUAGGUCUGCUCCAAAUGCACCUUCCAUGUGCAGUCACUGGCUGAACCUAGCAUGGCUUUGCUUUCUGCUAUGACAGGUCAGCACUGAGUUCAGGGUAAAGUACGCCAGUCACUGCACUCUCUCUGUCUCCGAAGUGCAUAGACUCUGUGCUACACGGCCACUGCCACGGCUGGAGGAGGAAUGGUGUCAGCAACUCAAGGCUGUCUCUUCAACCCUUUUCAAUGCCUCUGUCAACAACAUGAAGUUAAAACCAGAUAAACUAGAAGAUUUGGUGCCCAGCAUGAAGAAGAGUUCCUUUCAAGUACCUGUAUGUCCCGAAUGUAUUCCUUCCAGUGGGUUCUUGGUCUCGCUGACUUCAAGAAUGAAGCCUUGGACCCUUGUGAUAUGUGCUCACCCUUCUCUGCUCAGCUCUGUGCCUGGGAGGCUGACCUCUACAGACUGCAUCACCAGGCUUCCGCCCUCUGGCUUCCAGAUGGAUUUGGCCAAUGGGCAGCACCAGUGGGAAAGGAGAGGACAGGAGGAGAGACAGUCUGAGGUCAUGUAUUUAUCCCCCUCUUCCCUACCCCAUGACAGUUCUGACAGGCAGCCCCUCCGUUUCUCCAGCUCUCAGCUGAGCUCCAGUAACAAGCUUCCUUCUCUUUCCCCUUUAGGGUUGGGGUGGCAAGAGCCACCACCUGGGUGUCUCACUAUAUCUUGUUGGCUUCCCUAAUCCUGCCUACAUUAAUCAUUUUCUUAAAUUUCAAACUCUCUUGAUGCUUCCAUUUGUUUCCCGAGGAAUCCUGGCUAAUGGAGCAAGCUUGGACACAUUCCUUCAUUUCACACGUCCUCAGUUUAUUUAGCUGUAAAAUGAAGGGCCUGAGCAGCCUUUCCCAAAGUGGAUUCUGCACAUCAGUCUCACCAUAUUCCAUUUUGUAUUCUGUGGUCAAAUAUGUUUGGGAAACACUGAAUAUAAUGUCCCCUUUUGGAGAGCCACAAUUUGUGGCACCGUAUCAACAAUUCUGAGAGGUCCUGAAGUAGAUACACCUGUUUUACCCUGUUUAGUUCAGCAUUUCCCAAAUAUAGUUAACAAUGGAACCACUGUUUUUUGCUUGUUUGCUUUUGCAGAAAACCCUAAUAACAUAGAGAAAACACCAGAUCAAGUUGGGCCAUGUAUGGCAUUGUCUUAUUCUGUGGAAAGAUUGGAGUGCAAUGGCACGAUCUCAGCUCGCCGUAGCCUUGACCUCCCAGGCUCAAGAGAUCCUCUCACCUCAGCCUCCUGAGUAGCUGGGACUACAGGCACAUACCGAAUGCCCAGAAAAUUUUUUUCUUGUGAGGGCUGGGAGGACAGCGUCAAAAUAGAACUGAUGCUGAGGACAGCAGAGGAGAGGACAAGACAAACCUGAGUGGAUGGCAUCAUGGGGCCUCUGAUUGUUCCUGCAUCCAUUCCAUGUGGUUUAAGCCAGCCUCCCUCCUCCUGUGUCCCUGACAUACAGUGACAGUGCUGCCCUGCAGGAUGGCAUAUCAGAGAGCUCAGGAUGGAUGCAGUCAAGGACGACAGCCCAUGUCCAAAAAAGCUGCCUGCUGAACAUUUGCCCAGCAGAUUUUAUAAAGAAAGGAAACAUCUUAGUGAUUUUCUUGCCUCCAGAAGAUUCCCUGAUCCAAUCUUUCCUUGGCACAAACUUUUAGUUAUUGUGUUUACAUAUACAUUUUAUAUAUGCGUGGUCAUUAUUGUAUCUGUUUUAUUUGGGGACUUUAUCUUGAUGUGUGUUAUACCUAAUACACUGCAAUAUAAAUUAUGUAAUUAUGUGCUUUUUUUUGAGAUGGAGUCUCGUUCUGUCACCCAUGCUGGAGUGCAGUGGUGUGAUCUUGGCUCACUGCAACCUCCACCUUCUGGGUUCAAGUGAUUCUGCUGCUUCUGCGUCUCAAGUAGCUGGGAAUACAGGCGCCUGCCACCACACUCAGCUAAUUUUUUUUUUUUUUUUUAAGUAGAGGUGGGGCAUCACCAUGUUGGCCAGGCUGCUUUCGAACUCCUGACAUCAGGUGAUCCACCCACCUCAGCCUCACAAAAUCCUGGAUUACAGGCAUGAGCCACCACACCCGCCCUGUGCUUUCAAUAAGUACUUUCUCACUGCUUACUGACUGAUACCCCUAGCUUUUGUAUCAUGAGGAAAAA